GUUUCUAUACAGGUUCCAGUGUGUGCACUAAAUUUCUACUGCAUUCAGUAUUUUGAAAACAGUCUUAAGCUGAAGAGAGGUUUCAUGCUUGGGAGAGAAAAAGAGCAGAUCUUGACUCAAAAGCAACUUUUCAAAGGGAAGGGUAAACAAUUUUGUUUCUUUGGGGAUUUUUAUUCUGACAGCACAAACAUCUUGUUCUCUCAGGAUUUUGUUAUCUCUGGAAAAAAACCUUGGUACUGCCUCACUUUCUCCUUCCCUGGUUGUGGAUUUUUCACUCCUUUCCGAGGAAGUGCUAAGACUGUUCUAUUUUAGGAAGAGAUUUUAACUCAUGACUCAGAGGUCUGCAGACAUCACUGUAAAGACAGUUUCUGUGCAUCCAAAUGCUGUUAUCUGUUAAAAUACGAAAGGAAAGAUGUGUAACUUGGAGCUGAGAAGUCAAAGUAUUCCAGAUGGGUCUGGUUUACUUUGCAUUCAGUAUUCCUGUAGCCUUUUGCUUUGGAAGUGCUGGUAAUAAGCUUUUUAAUUGAAUAAAUGAGUGGUGGUGGUUUUUGUUUUUCCUCCCCUAGAAAUCUAGUGCUUAAUCAUACUGCACUGUCCUGUAGAAGUUGUGGACACUGUGGUGUUCUCCAGAAUGCUACUUAGGCUGCCACUACAAUAUUGCCCUUUCCAGGUUAAGCAGCUGUUUUUCAAUUUAUACUUUGAAGUCAGACUUUUGUACAUCAUUGAGCACCCUCUUGGACUUCCUGUAGACUCUCACCAGUUGUACUGCUUUUCAAGAAGGGUGUAGUAUAUCAUCUGGAGGGUUCAACAGGUAAUCCAGGCAAAUGUAGUGCUGCAAAAAUAAUGCUUGGAUGUGCUAACUCAAGUAUGAUGUGUGACAAGUAAUCACUGGGCCUUUUAAUUAGUGAGAAAUGGUACAUAAAAACUAGGUGACAGAAACAGGACAUGAGGCUGGCAUACUGGUCUUCAAGCUUGCAGUGCAGCUCCAUGGGCUUUGGAUGACUAAAGAAAAGCAUGAGGCCCAGGAGAGAACUGCUGCUGGUUCUUAGUGAAAGAUGAAAACUGAUCUGCUUUGCAAGCUGAGAUUAUUCUGAAACAGAGCAAAGUAUGAGAGACAUGGUGUUGUGGUUUUCGUUACUAUUGCGUAAUUUAAAGACUACAUAACAGCCAAAUCUUUUUGUGAUUUGAGAACUUCAUUUAACUGCAUAAAGGAUGAAUAUGCCCCAUGAACAGUUUCUUGUGUUCAUGCACAUUGCCAAUGUUUUAAUACUGAGAGAAGUCCUAGCAGUUGUAAACAACUAGAUAAUUCAUCAGAACAUCACACAUAAAUGUAUCUCAAAUAAUUUUUGUACCACAGCUAGUCUAAUGCAUUAACUUUUUAUGUUAGGAGCUCUUCCAUAAUGAUCUAUUUCUCAUUUUAUGGGAUAGACAAUGAAAGAAUUUAUUGAAACAUCUAAAAAGAAACAUUGGAUGAGAAAAGGGGAGAGACAGAAUUGGUUUUGAAUUGUCGAUGCAAUAUUAUAGAAUGUGUUGCAGUUCACAGAGGAGAAGACUGCUUUGGUUAUGAUACCAAAAUAUUUCUCUUCCACAUCUGUAAGCUACACUAACUACUUUAUGUUUAGAAGCUUAAAAAGAUCUUGAGAAGUUAAUUUCAACCUCUUAAUAAAGGCUACAUGGCUAACAUGA